GGGGGAUUAGCUCAUUUGGUAGAGCGUUUGCAUGGCAUGCAAAAGGUGACCGGUUCGAUUCCGGUAUCCUCCA
rnacentral:tRNA from 1 species